GGGGGUAUAGUUCAACUGGCAAAACUGCGAUUUUGCGUAUCGUUAUUACGGGUUCAAGUCCUGUUACCUCCA
rnacentral:tRNA from 1 species